rnacentral:rRNA from 1 species
UUUAUAAUCAUUAAAAUUAUUUUAAAUUUUGUGGGUAGUAGUAUAAUUAAUUAAUAACUUUUUUAUAUUAUAAUUAUUAGUAAUGUAAAUGAAAUUAAAUAAAUUGUUAAUAAGUAAAUUUUAUUGAUUGUACCUUUUGUAUUAGGGUUAUUUAAAAUAUAAGUUAUGUAUUAUAAUUUUCUCGAAUUAAAAAGAGUUAAUAAUAUAUGUUAGUUAAUGUGUAAAAAUUAUUAAAAAUAUAUUAUUAGGGAAUAAAUUUUAAUCAAUUUUUAAGAUAUCUAGUUUUUAUAAAAUUAAAUUUAAUUUAGUUUUUAUAUUUAUAACAUUGUUUUAUUAUUUAUAUUAUUGUGUUUAUAUAAGAAUAAUUGUUUAGGGGAUAAGCUUUAAAUAAUUUUAAAAUUUUUUUUUAUGUUUAUUUUUUAAUAUUUUUAGUAUUUAAAUUUUAUAGAAAAAAUUUAAUAAUUUAAAAAUGAAAUUUUAAUGAUUUUUAAUAAGAAUUUAAUGUUAAUUAUAAAUAUUAAUUUUAAUUAAUUGGGUUAAGUAAUAAUGAAUAAAUUAGUAAAUAAUAUAUAAAUAUUGUAUAAUAUAAGAGUUUAUGAUAUAUAUUUUUGAGGAAUUAGGCAAAAGUUAAGUUCACCUGUUUAAUAAAAACAUGGUUUUUUGUAUUUAAUUUAAAAUUGGUUCUGCUCUAUGAUUUAAUUAAAUGGCCGCAGUAAUUUGACUGUGUUAAGGUAGCAUAAUCAUUUGGUUUUUAAAUGGAAUCUGGGAUGAAAGAAUUGAUGAGAUUUAAGCUGUCUUAAAAUUAAAAUUUGAAUUUAUUAAUUAAGUAAGAAUACUUAGAUAUUUUUGUGGGACGAGAAGACCCUAUUGAAUUUUAUAUAAGUAUAUAUUUAUUUAUUUUUAUUAGAUUUUAUAUAUGUUUAUAUUUAUUUGGGAGGAAUAUUAAAUUUAAUAAACUUUAAUUAUAUAGAAUAUCAAUAAAUGAAGUUAUUUAAAGAGUGGUUUUAAAUUAUAUUAGAAUUAAUUACCUUAGGGAUAACAGCGUAAUAUUUUUGGAGAGAUCAUAUUGAUAAAAAUGUUUGCGACCUCGAUGUUGAAUUAAGAUAAAAAUUAAGUGGAGAUUCUUAAUAUUUAAGUCUGUUCGACUUUUAAAAUCUUACAUGAUUUGAGUUUAGAUCGGCGUGAGCCAGAUCGGUUUCUAUCUACAAUAAAUUUUAAAAUAUUUGUACGAAAGGACUUUAUUUUAUAAAAAUUUUAUGAUAAUU